rnacentral:rRNA from 1 species
GACGAACGCUGGCGGCGUGCCUAACACAUGCAAGUCGAACGGAACUGUUUUGAAAGAUUUCUUCGGAAUGAAUUUGAUUUAGUUUAGUGGCGGACGGGUGAGUAAUGCGUGAGUAACCUGCCUUCAAGAGGGGAAUAACAUUCUGAAAAGAAUGCUAAUACCGCAUGACAUAUCGGAACCACAUGGUUUUGAUAUCAAAGAUUUUAUCGCUUGAAGAUGGACUCGCGUCCGAUUAGUUAGUUGGUGAGGUAACGGCUCACCAAGACCGCGAUCGGUAGCCGGACUGAGAGGUUGAACGGCCACAUUGGGACUGAGACACGGCCCAGACUCCUACGGGAGGCAGCAGUGGGGGAUAUUGCGCAAUGGGGGCAACCCUGACGCAGCAACGCCGCGUGAAGGAUGAAGGUUUUCGGAUUGUAAACUUCUUUUAUUAAGGACGAAAAAUGACGGUACUUAAUGAAUAAGCGCCGGCUAACUACGUG